AAAGGAGAAGCAAGAAAGCUGCACCUCAGAUGCCUGAGAGCAGAACUUUUGAAAGGGCUGGGAAAGCAACUGGAAGCUGAGGCUCCAGCACAGCGGGCUGGCGGCGAGACGGUGAGCUGGCUGCGUGCUCGGCAGCACAGAGCACGUGAUGUCCGCACGAGUUGUGUGAGAAGCCUGCAAUAAAGGAAAACCACAACAAAAGGAGAAGUGGAUCAAGUGAACAUACAGAACUUCUGGUACAUUCUUCUCAGAAAGGAAGGCAGGCACACAGCAUUACCUGGAACAGCAGUGACAGGAGGGUGAGCGAGUAACUGGGGGCCCAUGCUUUCUCCAGAACUCCAUCCUACAAGGCGAUGCCCGGCCGCAAGAGGGACAGCCACCGAACCUCACAUGUCCUGAACCGUUUUCAUGUACAGAGCAAAGAUGCACAGCUGCUGAGAAGAACCGCAGAGACAGAACAAAGGUUUGUGCAGUAACAUUGGAGCUUGACUAGUUCUCAGAGAGAAAU
rnacentral:lncRNA from 1 species